rnacentral:rRNA from 1 species
AGCGAACGCUGGCGGCAGGCCUAACACAUGCAAGUCGAACGAACUCUUCGGAGUUAGUGGCGGACGGGUGAGUAACACGUGGGAACGUGCCUUUUGGUUCGGAAUAACUCAGGGAAACUUGUGCUAAUACCGAAUGUGCCCUUCGGGGGAAAGAUUUAUCGCCAUUAGAGCGGCCCGCGUCUGAUUAGCUAGUUGGUGAGGUAACGGCUCACCAAGGCGACGAUCAGUAGCUGGUCUGAGAGUAUGACCAGCCACACUGGGACUGAGACACGGCCCAGACUCCUACGGGAGGCAGCAGUGGGGAAUCUUGCGCAAUGGGCGAAAGCCUGACGCAGCCAUGCCGCGUGAAUGAUGAAGGUCUUAGGAUUGUAAAAUUCUUUCACCGGGGACGAUAAUGACGGUACCCGGAGAAGAAGCCCCGGCUAACUUCGUG